rnacentral:rRNA from 1 species
UACGAAGGGGGCGAGCGUUGUUCGGAUUUACUGGGCGUAAAGGGCGCGCAGGCGGCGCAUUUUGUCAGGCGUGAAAGCCCCGGGCUUAACCUGGGAACUGCGUUUGAUACGGAUGGGCUAGAGUUCGGGAGAGGAGAGUGGAAUUCCCAGUGUAGAGGUGAAAUUCGCAGAUAUCGGGAGGAACACCUAUGGCGAAGGCAGCUCGCUGGGACGUUACUGACGCUGAGACGCGAAAGCGUGGGGAGCAAACAGG